rnacentral:lncRNA from 1 species
CAGCAGGAACGUGGCCACACCACGCGCCCGGCGCCUGAGUGAGCAGGUGCCCUGCCAUGGCUCGUGGGCAUUUCGGGAGGAUCCUGCCUUGCUCCCCAGUUCCUGUUGGCUUGGCCUCCAACGGAGCUGCAGAGACUUUGGGGAGCCUCUCUGUACCCCUGCUCUCUGAAUCUCCUGCCCAAAAGGACCUGGCCUGGAGCUGAAGGUCGGCACCAGAGCCCCGCUUUUCAGAAAGCCAGGCUCUCAGGAAGAGAAACGGGCUUUUCCUCCUGUUUCUGCAUCUCUUCCUCACGCCCGGGAUUGAAGUUUCUCACACCGCCACGGCCUGGACGCUGCUCCUAUGUUGGGAGGAG